rnacentral:lncRNA from 1 species
UCUCCAGUAGACAGUCUUCAGGCAACCUUCUACACCAGAUAAAUUUCAGACAGACUUCUCUAGCAAUCGGACUCCAACCGGAGUUUUCCAACAGAAAGUUUCCAUCCGAGCUUCUGUAGCAGACGACUUUAGCCUGCAGCGUCAACGUCUAAGGCACCCGACGAUAAUUAACCCAUCAACAACCUCGAAAAUAUCUGAGCUUCUCUUAGACAGAGAGUUAUUCCAUUCCAUCAGACAUCCCAAUCG